rnacentral:rRNA from 1 species
GACGGACGCUGGCGGCGUGCUUAACACAUGCAAGUCGAACGGAAAGGCCCUGCUUUUGUGGGGUGCUCGAGUGGCGAACGGGUGAGUAACACGUGAGUAACCUGCCCUUGACUUUGGGAUAACUUCAGGAAACUGGGGCUAAUACCGGAUAGGAGCUCCUGCUGCAUGGUGGGGGUUGGAAAGUUUCGGCGGUGGGGGAUGGACUCGCGGCUUAUCAGCUUGUUGGUGGGGUAGUGGCUUACCAAGGCUUUGACGGGUAGCCGGCCUGAGAGGGUGACCGGCCACCUUGGGACUGAGAUACGGACCAGACUCCUACGGGAGGCAGCAGUGGGGAAUAUUGCACAAUGGGCGGAAGCCUGAUGCAGCAACGCCGCGUGCGGGAUGACGGCCUUCGGGUUGUAAACCGCUUUCGCCUGUGACGAAGCGUGCGUGACGGUAAUGGGUAAAGAAGCAACGGCUAACUACGUG